rnacentral:rRNA from 1 species
UAGGGAAUCUUCCACAAUGGGCGAAAGCCUGAUGGAGCAACGCCGCGUGUGUGAUGAAGGGUUCCGGCUCGUAAAACACUGUUGUAAGAGAAGAAUGACAUUGAGAGUAACUGUUCAAUGUGUGACGGUAUCUUACCAGAAAGGAACGGCUAAAUACGUACCAG